rnacentral:sRNA from 1 species
UGCAACCAUCCCUCAAUCAGGCCCUUUUAAAAAUGUGAAAGCAUUCAACAACUGGUUUUCUUCUCUGCCUCAAAGCUGGCUUCCUGAUUCAAAGAGAUAUCGGGAUCCUUAUCGAGACUAUCUACCAGACAAUGGAGCCAUCAGGUUGACUCAUGGAGGCUUGCAUCAGAGCAAUAUUCUAAUUUCACCAGCUGGUCACCCAUGUGUCCUUGCUGUAGUUGAUUGGGCUCAUGCUGGUUGGUACCCGGAAUACUGGGAGUAUUGCAAGGCCUUAUACACAUCAGACUAUAAGGGGGAAUGGCGCAAUGUUUGGGUUCCCAAAUUCUUAACUGUGUACGAGCCUGAGUUUGCUGCUUUCAGUGAAUAUGUGCUGCAGAUUGGAGCAGUGUAAGUAUUGAUGUUGUACUUAGCCUUCUAAAUUACAUUUGUCA